rnacentral:misc_RNA from 1 species
GUUUCCUGAUCUUUUAAAACAUAUGUUUCAGGAUUCCGGGUCAUUCCAGGAACCCAGACUUCCACGCCUGUCUUUACUUCUUGUUUCUUCGUGGGACCAUUUUCAGAACCAGGGCCAGCUUUCUGUCGAGGCAUCAUGUGAAGACAGGGCGAGAGUACAGUAAAUUUUCUCGGAAAAAUGCUAAGCUCCCCUCUUUUGCUCUUUCCUGGGUAACCACAAAUACCAACAAUAUCACCACGCUUUACACUAGAAUGAUAUCGAGAAAAUUCAGCUUCAUCCAAGUCUGAGUCCCUUGCAUCAGCCAUGACUUGAACUUUAGCACCACCACCAUACAAAUCAUAGAAAUAAAGCUUUGACGAUGAUGUCCUCUUGUUCAUAAUCCUCCCAGCCAAUUUAACUUUCAGCUCCUUAACAUGCACCCCAUCCCCCAGCCCACCAUACUCCUUCACAAACUCCGGCACCGAAACCGAUACGUCAAACUUAUGUGGAUACGGAUUCUCCCCCGCCGCCUUCAGCGAGGCAAGCACUUUCAGCCGAUUCUCAAAAUAUUGCGUCGGAUCCAUGUCAUCGUCGUCUCCGGCCUGCGGCUUCUGCGACCGUGAACUCUCCCCGGCGGCGGCGGUCUUCUUCUUCUCCUCUUCUUUGGCCCGCCUCUCGGCCUCCUUCUGCUGCAGCUUUAGCAGCUUCUUCUGAGCGUUCUUGCUGAGGGAAUCGGGUGCGGAUGGAUCGAUUGAGAGAUCGGAGAUGCUGGGCUCGGCGGCGCCUGCGGGAUCGGCCAUUGGAGGGAGACGGUGGAGUAGGCGGCGAGUGGCG